AAUUUAUUUUGUUUUCUAGUUGGCUGUGAAAAACAUACAAAUUGUAGUUCCUGCAUUUCUAUUGAAUCAACUCAGCUGAAUUGCACAUGGCUUCAAUGCAAUGGAAAACUGUCUCGGUGCACAAAUUCCACAAGUAUAGAUCCUGGUUGUACUGCUGUUUCUGAAAAUGGGACAUGUGCAGAUUUUCCGAUCAGUACUACCACAGCUAGUAAUGUCACCACAGCUAGUAAUGCCACCACAGUCACCAGCCCUACAGGUAACAAAAAGAAA